rnacentral:rRNA from 1 species
AUUGAACGCUGGCGGUAGGCCUAACACAUGCAAGUCGAGCGGAGCGGCGGACGGGUGAGUAAUGCCUAGUAAUCUGCCUGGUAGUGGGGGAUAACGUCCGGAAACGGGCGCUAAUACUGCAUCCUAUCAGCUGAGCCUAGGUCGGAUUAGCUAGUAGGUGGGGUAAAGGACUACCAAGGCGACGAUCCGGAACUGGUCUGAGAGGAUGAUCAGUCACACUGGAACUGAGACACGGACCAGACUCCUACGGGAGGCAGCAGGGGGGAAGAUUGGACAAUGGGAGAAAGCCGGAUCAAGCCAUGCCGCGUGUGUGAAGAAGGUCUUUGGGUGGUAAAGCACUGUAAGUUGGGAGGCGUUACCAACAGAAUAAGCACCGGCUAACUACGUGCCAGCAGCCGCGGUAAUAC